GCUCCCUGCCUCACUCUAACAUGAGCUCCCAAGGGGAGGGCCUCUGAGUUCUCUCACCGCUGCAUCCCUUCUGCCUAGGGCAGCACCUGGCAGACAGAGGGCUGGGGAAUGGAUGUCGAGAGAAUCUUUCAACAAGGCGUUUCCACCUUGUUGAUUUCCACAGGUACAACCCCUCUCCUAAGGAAUUCUGCACCGAGGAGCAGAGACACUCAGAUUUUAUGCACAGACUCCACAAAGGUGAUGCCUUUCAAUGGUAGAACAUUCAAAAAGCUGGCAACAAAGCCCCCUCCAUUGGUACUGGGCUCGCCCACCACCCCGGGAUCACAGCAGAGCCUAGAGGCUCACGCUGUGGCCCAGGAAACGUGAAAGACCUCUGACCUUCAGCCCAGCACAGCCAGACGUCCUCAUCACCCGCACUCCCAAGGGUGCUUGAACGCAUGUACCUCUUGUCUCAGCUUAGAACACGGCCAUCUUUCCCAGUCCUGGCACACAGAUGCCUAGGAUUAUCCUCUCCAGGAACACCAGAGCCACCAUUCCUCUCUGAGUAG
rnacentral:lncRNA from 1 species